CCAUAUCUCUUUAUAAUAUGAGUUAUGAAAUUAUUGUAAAAAUUUGGUUAAGUGGCAUCAUACCUAUCCUAACACACAUAAAUUCCUUAUUGAUGUAAACUUUGACACAAGAGACACAAGGAAGGAUGCUUACCUGGAAGACCAAAAAGAUAAUUAGAGAGAAGCAUGAAGAAUGAUUCAAGUCCUAUAGGGACCUAUCACCUGAGCUCGUGCCAAAAGCUUAUAAAAAGCUUUCAAUCUUCUCAUCCAAGGUUAGAUUAUCUAAGAGAUUGAUUUUAAGACUUAAGAAGCUGCAAG
rnacentral:lncRNA from 1 species